rnacentral:rRNA from 1 species
UACGUAGGGUGCAAGCGUUAAUCGGAAUUACUGGGCGUAAAGCGUGCGCAGGCGGUUGUGCAAGACAGAUGUGAAAUCCCCGGGCUCAACCUGGGAAUGGCAUUUGUGACUGCACGGCUAGAGUGUGUUAGAGGGGGGUAGAAUUCCACGUGUAGCAGUGAAAUGCGUAGAUAUGUGGAGGAAAACCGAUGGCGAAGGCAGUCCCCUGGGAUAACACUGACGCUCAUGCACGAAAGCGUGGGGAGCAAACAGGAUUAGAUACCCUGGUAGUCCACGCCCUAAACGAUGUCAACUGGUUGUUGGGUCUUAAUUGACUUGGUAACGCAGCUAACGCGUGAAGUUGACCGCCUGGGGAGUACGGUCGCAAGGUUG